rnacentral:lncRNA from 1 species
UUCACUACAGCAGGAUGAGAAAUUACAUAAAACAGAAAAUGCUUUGAAUACAGUACCAAUAUACCACUUAAUAAUAAAGAGAGUUUAAAAGCAGGGGAGUUUUGGUAUUUCAUUACCUGUGGUGAUCUUGAAUAAUUUUUAAAAAUUACAUAAAGCAAUUUGAAUAAAAUUCAUUAAAAUGUAUUUUUCAAAGCCAAAGAAAACAUAAACCUGUAAUUUGCUGUGGCAUACAGCUCUGCCUCCUGUUAUCCCUUUGACCUUACUAUCUCUCACCACUCUCUCCCCAGACCCCACUCUACUCCAGCCACAGUUGGCUCCCUGUUCCUUUGUCUUAGGACAUUCUUCUUCCAUA